GUAAAAAGCCUUCCUGCCCAUCUCUCUCUCUGACUGGCUGUAACAUGUCAAUCAUUUCAUCUAGAAGCUCUCUGCAAUAAAAACCCUCUCCCUCACGUUAGGACCAAAAUAAAGAGAUGCACACACACCCAUCAAAGAACCCAGCCAGCCAUUAACAAACCAGCCUAGUCAUUUAGCAUCUUUCAAUUCCUAUUAAGAUGUUGCAGUUGCACGGCCUGCCAUUCAGAGAAUUCAGGGAGAUUCUCACAUAUGCAGUCCAAUAUGGACUACAGUGCCCAUAAUGCUACACCCACUAGUGUAGCAUUUAACCUCUGACCCCUAGUUCAGGUACCCAUGACGACACCAUAGCCAUCCAGCCUCUCUCAUACACCCAUUUGAACCUCAGCAGCCAGUUAGUUAGUUUAACCUCUGCAACCGCUAUCUAUCUUCUAUCAAUGGCAUGGCCUUAUAGACUGAGUGUACAAAACAUGAAAUAACAUUACUUAGACUGACCAGGUAUGGCAGUAGGUGCAAGACGCACUGGUUUGUUUGAAGAAUUGGAACGCUGCCAGGGUUUUUCAUGCUCAACAGUUUCCUGUGUGUAUCAAGAAUGGUCCAGCACCCAAACGACAUCCAGCCAAAUUGACACAAUUGUAGGAAGCAUUGGAGUCAAUAUGGGCCAGCAUCCCUGUGGAACGUUUUUGACACCUUGUAGAGUCCAUGGGGGUGCAACUAAGUGUGUAUAUAUAUAUAUAUAGAAGGUGUUCGUAAUGUUUUGUACACUCAGUAUAUGUGCAACUGCCUAUUUCUUCCCCCAGCACAGUUUCCUUCCACACUCUAGUUCCCCCACACACAGUCACGCUGUAUAUUGUUUAGAGACAUAUUAAGUAACAGUGUUCAUGCUCCAGUGGAAAUUGUUGCGUGUUGAGAUUAGUGUGACGUGAACCCAGAGAUUCAACUGUUUAAACACACACACACAGGAAUCCACAUCCGCCCGAUCCUCGAUAUCAGCUUAGCUCAGCAUCACAAUCAAAGCAGUGUGUCAAGUUAGUUGGAGGUGUGAGAGGCCUAGUGGACAGGGUCAGAGGCCUAGUGGACAGGACAGGGUCAGAGGUCUAGUGGACAGGACAGGGUCAGAGGCCUAGUGGACAGGACAGGGUCAGAGGCCUAGUGGACAGGACAGGGUCAGAGGCCUAGUGGACAGGGUCAGAGGCCUAGUGGACAGGACAGGGUCAGAGGCCUAGUGGACAGGGUCAGAGGCCUAGUGGACUGGACAGGGUCAGAGGCCUAGUGGACAGGGUCAGAGGCCUAGUGGACAGGACUGGGUCAGAGGCCUAGUGGACAGGACAGGGUCAGAGGCCUAGUGGACAGGACAGGGUCAGAGGCCUAGUGGACAGGGUCAGAGGCCUAGUGGACAGGACAGGGUCAGAGGCCUAGUGGACAGGGUCAGAGGCCUAGUGGACAGGACAGGGUCAGGGGCCUAGUGGACAGGACAGGGUCAGAGGUCUAGUGGACAGGACAGGGUCAGAGGCCUAGUGGACAGGGUCAGAGGCCUAGUGGACAGGGCGGGGUCAGAGGCCUAGUGGACAGGACAGGGUCAGAGGCCUAGUGGACAGGACAGGGUCAGAGGCCUAGUGGACAGGACAGGGUCAGAGGCCUAGUGGACAGGACAGGGACAGGGGCCUAGUGGACAGGACAGGGUCAGAGGCCUAGUGAACAGGACAGGGUCAGAGGCCUAGUGGACAGGACAGGAGGCCUAGUGGACAGGACAGGGUCAGAGGCCUAGUGGACAGGGUCAGAGGCCUAGUGGACAGGGCAGGGUCAGAGGCCUAGUGGACAGGACAGGCUCAGGGGCCUCGUGGACAGGACAGGGUCAGAGGCCUAGUGGACAGGACAGGGUCAGAGGCCUAGUGGACAGGACAGGGGCCUAGUGGACAGGGUCAGGGGCCUAGUGGACAGGACAGGGUCAGAGGCCUAGUGGACAGGGUCAGAGGCCUAGUGGACAGGACAGGGUCAGAGGCCUAGUGGACAGGACAGGGUCAGAGGCCUAGUGGACAGGACAGGGUCAGAGGCCUAGUGGACAGGACAGGGUCAGAGGCCUAGUGGACAGGACAGGGUCAGAGGCCUAGUGGACAGGGCGGGGUCAGAGGCCUAGUGGACAGGACAGGGUCAGAGGCCUAGUGGACAGGGUCAGAGGCCUAGUGGACAGGGUCAGAGGCCUAGUGGACAGGACAGGUAAAUUGUAGAGGACAGGCGUCAAAGUAAGGGUCAUGCAGUAAGGAGAUUUAGUAUAAUGUAUAUUAAGGUAAGGUUGUAUUAAAGUUGUACUACGGUUGUGGGAGGAUAAAAUACAGAUGCAGGGGAGAGCAGAGUUUGUGAAAACUACACAUUGUUAGUCUGCCGUUAUUUUUUAUUUCUAGUUCAGGAAAUCCCAGGUAGUCACCGUUGUUAUCAGGAUAAUGAUUCCUGUUGCCUUUGGAAUCAUACUGUAUGUGCAAUAGUUGUCUUUGUUGAUCAUUUUUCUCUCCAAAGUGUGUGUAGCAUUGUCCGUCUGAUGUUUGUUAGCCAUGUACCGUAUGUCUUUGUUCGUACCCCUUUAAUUUGGUCCUAAAAUAUCUUCAAUCUCAUUAGACUCACGCUAGACUGAUUCAGGAAGGAUUAGUGCAGAGUAGGUGAAUGAAAAUGGAGAUGGACAGAGCGUGUUGUCUGUGUGUGUAGCUGAAACCAGUCAGGAUAUGCAGGCCUGCCGCUAUGUAGAAGUUUGUUUUUGACCUCACUGAAUGGAAUUGUUCGUCAGUCAACGCUCCAGCUAGCAGUUCAUUUGUAGUCAGCCUCUCUAUUUCAACACUGUAAAUUCUACAUUCUGCAGUCCAGGAAAACUAUGUCAGUCCCAAAAAAGUUGUAUAAAAUAAAAAUAUGAAAAGGAGAAAAAAAGGUGGAAGUCAGAAAGAAAGACAGAGACAGGCUCUUGGCUAUGGAGAGGUAUACUGUACUUGGGGUUGCAAAGCUACUGGAAAUUUACCAAAGUUACCGGAAUCUUCAGAAAUGUUGGUAAUUAACAGAAAAUGUAUGUCAAUCUAUCAUAACUUUGGUAAUUUAUAUUGAAUAACUUUUUAAAAAAGGUAUUCAUAUAUAGUAUUAUUUUUUAUAUAUAUAUAUAUAUAUCUGUAUCCAUAUUAUCCAUGAGUUUCUAGUAGAUAGACCGUAUGGUUCAAGGAAAAAAGUUCCUAAUUAAUGAAAAGAGUGUCUAAUCAACAAUGGCAUUAUUUUCAAUUGACUCUGCAACUAGUGACUUUCUUCACAACUGCCCCCAGUUUGACACCAAAACAUUGACAACAAAUAUAUAUUGACAUAGUCUACUAAAUGAAACUGUGUAAAAAACAAAAUGAUGGAUAUUUCAUAUUUUCAUACUGAAACGCCAAUGUUAUUCUCUAAAUUGAUGGUUUAUAUUUAAGAUGAUGUUUUACAGCUUUUUUGUAAUUAUAAUUUUUUAAAAUAUUAUUAUUUAAUAUAUUUCACAUGUGACAAGGCCAGCGAGAGGGCCAGAGAUAAUAACAGACACCUGUGAUAUCUGAAAUACCCCAAAGGGCCACUAGAUGUCUGGUGAUAAAUGACAUAAAAUCCUUGAAAGAUACCAAAAUUCUGGUAGGUUACUGGCAAAAUGUGAAUGUUUCCGGUAAUAUACCCUCCAUUUGCAACCUUAACUGUACUUGCUUGGCAAGACCUUCUUGGGAUGCUUGUGGUGUAGUGUGUGGUGAGAGGUGGUAUGAUGGUAGUACUAUGAUGUCAGUAGUAGAGAUGUGUAGUGAGACAUGGUAUGAUGGUAGUACUAUGAUAGGUAGUAGAGAUGUGUAGUGAGACAUGGUAUGAUGGUAGUACUAUGAUGUCAGUAGUAGAGAUGUGUAGUGAGAGGUGGUAUGAUGGUAGUACUAUGAUAGGUAGUAGAGAUGUGUAGUGAGACAUGGUAUGAUGGUAGUACUAUGAUAGGUAGUAGUAGAGAUGUGUAGUGAGACAUGGUAUGAUGGUAGUACUAUGAUAGGUCAGUAGUAGAGAUGUGUAGUGAGAGAUGGUAUGAUGGUAGUACUAUGAUGUCAGUAGUAGAGAUGUGUAGUGAGACAUGGUAUGAUGGUAGUACUAUGAUAGGUAGUAGAGAUGUGUAGUGAGACAUGGUAUGAUGGUAGUACUAUGAUAGGUCAGUAGUAGAGAUGUGUAGUGAGAGAUGGUAUGAUGGUAGUACUAUGAUGUCAGUAGUAGAGAUGUGUAGUGAGACAUGGUAUGAUGGUAGUACUAUGAUAGGUCAGUAGUAGAGAUGUGUAGUGAGACAUGGUAUGAUGGUAGUACUAUGAUAGGUAGUAGAGAUGUGUAGUGAGACAUGGUAUGAUGGUAGUACUAUGAUAGGUAGUAGAGAUGUGUAGUGAGACGUGGUAUGAUGGUAGUACUAUGAUAGGUCAGGUGGAUUUAUGCUGUUUAUAAAGCCUCUGCUGAAAUAAGGAACUUGACUGUUUCAGAAGGAAGAUAGGAUGUUAUGUUCUGGUGCUCUGGCCUGGCCUCAGCCCAGUUUAAACUGUCUGGUGUGUUGAUAGACAUGUUUGACAAAAAGCAUAGUUACAUAGAUAUAUGUGUGUGUGUAUACUUAUCUUGUUUAAACUUGAGAUGAGGUUGUCCCCACCAGCCUUUUGUAAUUAUGUUGUUUUGUUUCUGUGUGUGUGUGUGUGUGUGUGUGUGUGUGUGUGUGUGUGUGUGUGUGUGUGUGUGUGUGUGUGUGUGUGUGUGUGUGUGUGUGUGUGUGUGUGUGUGUGUGUGUGUGUGUGUGUGUGUGUGUGUGUGUGUGUGUGUGUGUGUGUGUGUGUGUGUGGUGUUCUCUCCUAUGGACUCUGAUCACUAGCCCUAACACUCAUAAGGUCCAGAGAGAAAAGACAGAUAACAGUCAUUAUUACCUUCUGUAUUAGUGGGGACCACUUUUGUAAAACCAACCAAUAAAGAUGCACAUAGUCGACUAACGGCGUAGACUUGGUACUGUUUCCAGCACUUUCUAAACCCAGAGGAACGGAUCUGGUCUAAACCCUCAUCUCAGACCAAGGCCUUUCCCAGAGGUAUAACAUUCAUUCAAUUCAGACAGAAUGAAAGAGAGAGAGAGAGAGAGAGAGAGAGAGAAAGAAGGAGAGGAUAAGAGAUGGGAGAGACUGUUCAGAUUCAUUUCUUUGCACACGGCCUGGUUGAAAAACCGUAGUGUUUCCACUCUUUCAUUUCGCCUACCGUCCGACACGUUCUUGGGUCCAACGUGUUGAGACGCGAGGCGGUUUCUUGGUCCCGUGUUUCUAAACAGAAGGGCCUUUUUCAUGGACACACACCCACUUUUCUGUGUUCAAUUUGGUCCUAUAGUAUAAAAGACCUUUGGUUUCUUUAUUAAUUUACCUUUUUCAGAAUAGAUGGGUUAGCUGACAACGUCAUGAAAACUACGGGCAUGCUUCAAAGGGGCACAAGUCCAUGUGUUGUGGUUCUGGGUGGGCAGAUAGCACCAAGACAAGAAGCUGCCAUGUGGGGAAUCGUAGGUGGCUCGUUUCAGCUAGUGUCAUCUUGUUCUUGAUACCAUGUCUUGUUUUGACUGAUGUCACAUCAAUGCUAAUAUGGCAAAAAUUCACUAGCUAGCUAACCAACAACUGUAACGAUGUAUUUGAGAGACAACAAGUGCUCAUUGUGCAAAUAUAUUUGAGUUUUCAAAAAACAAUAGGGACGAAAUAUAGUUUACAUGUUAUCAACCAUGUAAGCCAACCCCGUUUUGCCCCAUAGUUGCGCACACGUGCGUUUUGUUGCUAAACAACCAACCCGUCUAUAGGACCUUUUCCGGUUUCCACUACUUACCACAGCCACAAAGUAAGAAUUGGCUAUAUGGUUAAAAUGCAUGUAAACCCAAAUCAGCUUUUUGUUCUUACUUUAAGGUUAGGCAUAAGGUUAGCAGUGUGAUUAGGGUUAGGUUUAAAAUCCCAUUUUAAGAAGAGAAUUUGUUGAAAUAGGUGGGGUUUAUGACUUUGUGACUGUGGUACCAAGUGACAACCACCUUUUCCUUGUGUUGGUCUCCUUUGUAGCACUCGAGACGUGAUUGGACGUCUGUUUAGGGAAUGUGUCAUGUGACUUUCUGACAAGCCUCCUCAUUGGAGGAGCACACCCAGCUGACCUUGUCUGUUUUUAUUGGCUUAUUUACUUACUUCUUGCACAAAUAACUAAUAAUAUGAAUGUUGGUAUGAGCUUCAGCGUUUCAAAAUGAAAAGUAAUGUGUUGUUGUUUUUAUUGUUUAUCGCCAUGUUGUUGUUUUACUUUUGUUUCUUUCUUGGCAAAAAGAUUUUGGCACCUUUUUGGUUUUAAAAUGAACAGAAUUCAAUCAGGAUUCCUUUGUUAAAACUUGACUGUUGUUUGACGUCUUGUCAAUAAAUGUCCGUACCGCUGGAUAACCAACUCAGGCAGAGAAAACGUAAACACGUCCACAACCCCAAUGGUUAAGUUUCACCUCGAUUUAAUGUGGAUGGGCUGUUCGAUAUGGAUUAUUACUAUUUUGAAUGAUUAUAUUUAUAUAAUAAAUAUAUAAAU
rnacentral:lncRNA from 1 species